AUUAUUAAAUGCUGCAGCACCAUGAGUAGAGUUCCAUUUUUACCCUGAGAGUCAAGCAGAUUAAACACUGUGUUACUAUGAAGCUUUUGACUAUUGGGGAAAAGGAACAAUGGUGACUGUUUCUUCAGGCACUCCUCAGACUCCUCAUGUGUUUCCUCUGAUACCAUGUGGCUCUCCAAGUGGAGACACGGUCACUCUUGGCUGCAUUGCCACUGGUUUCACCCCCUCUUCAUGGAAGUUCUCGUGGAAACUCGGCACCGACAGUUUGGAAAACGUCACCCAGUACCCUUCAAUCCCGGAUAAUGACAAAUAUUUGGGAAUCAGUCAGGUUCAAGUCAGCCGACAGGACUGGGACGCUAAAAAGACUUUCCAGUGUGUUGCCUCUUAUGGAGACCUAAACAGUAAUACUAAUGUGAAUAAACCAGGUAAGUUUGUUUCUUUUAGUUUUGUGGAAAAAUAAAUAAAAGUUGAUGAAUGAUUCUUUACAUUUUUGUAAAAUGCUGGUGAUGCUGAAAAGUCACUGAUAAGAAAACUUACAAGUUUGAAAGACAGUUUUAGAAUUUAAUUUAACGGUUUUUUUUUUAAACUGAAGGUUUUGGCAAAACUUUAAUUUGGAUUGUUGUUUUUUUGGUGUAAUUUAGACCUUAAAAAAUGAAGCUUUAGUAAGUAAAGUGUCUAUAUUUAAGUACUAUUUUUUCCAACACAUUUUAAAAAACUAAAUUAGAAUUUUAAUUGCGGAGUUACAUACUUGUGCUCUCUUUUAAUCAAUUGAAGUCUAAAUUGGUACAUUACUCAGCUUUAACUACUGUAUCAUUAAUACUUUUUGUUUCUCACCAAAAUGUAAGAAGUUUUUUGAUCAUAUUAUUGGAACAAAACCUUA